ACUAAUUUUUCAGUUAUACACCUCAAUUAAUAGAAUGUUGAAGAGAAGCUGGUCUUCAAUACAAUGGGAGAGGCAGCAAUAUUUAGUAAUGGAGUGCUGAGAUGGAACACAGCAACCUUCUCCAAGUGGGCUGAAGAAUACUUACCAGCAAUACAGGAAGCUAUGCAAUCAAUUGACUUCCCUGAUAAAGCCUUUCAAGCAUAUUCUCAAUAUAUUUCUAAUGAGAAGAUACUUGGCUCCAUU